rnacentral:snRNA from 1 species
UUUGACACGUGACAUGAUCCUA